GGCUACCUCGAGGUCAUCGGCUUCACCAUGACAUCCUUGGCCGCAUUGCAGGUGGGUGGACACGGCGAGCGGCUGACCCAGUGCCGAGAAGUGCUGCUCACCACUGCCAAGGCCAUCCCUGUGCAGGUGGAUGGUGAACCCUGCAAGCUUGCAGCAUCGCGGAUUCGAAUUGCCCUGCGCAACCAGGCCACUAUGGUGCAGAAGGCCAAGCGCCGGAGUACUGCCCCACUGCACAGCGAUCAGCAGCCAGUUCCUGAGCAGCUGAGGAUCCAAGUGAGCAGGGUCAGCAUGCACGACUACGAGGCUCUCCAUUAUGACAAGGAGCAGCUCAAGGAGGCCUCUGUGCCUCUGGGUACUGUGGUGGUCCCCGGAGACAGUGACCUAGAGCUCUGCCGAGCCCACAUUGAGAGACUCCAGCAGGAGCCCGAUGGGGCUGGAGCCAAGUCCCCCAUGUGCCACCCACUGUCCUCCAAGUGGUGUUUCCUGGACGGUGAGUCUGCCGAGAAGGGUCCUUUCUAGGCCAUCCUAGGCCGUCCGGCUAGUGCUCCUCUGGGGGAACCUGGGAUAAUUAACAGAAGAGUUGGGCUGGGGUAAGGACAGACCUCAUUCUCAGCCAGCCGUCUCAUCUACAGCCACCACUGCCAGCCGCUUCUACAGGAUCGACAGGGCCCAGGAGCACCUCAACUAUGUGACGGAGAUUGCCCAGGAUGAGAUUUAUAUCCUAGACCCAGAGCUGCUGGGUGCAUCAGCCCGACCUGACCUCCCUACCCCUACCUCCCCGCUCCCUGCCUCCCCCUGCUCCCCUACACCCGGGUGAGUCCCAGAGCCCCAGAGCCCCCCUAGCCACCUCUCCCCUGGCUUUAAAUCCUGUCUGCUGGCUGCAGGCAUGGAAUUUCCACCAGCAGGAGCACUUAGGAGCGCCAGACUCAGUCCCUCUGCCAUCAUGCCUCCCACCAUCAGGAGCUCUACCCCCACCCCUGCAUUCCUGCCUCCAAGCCUGAAAGUACAAGUCCAAACAGGCCACUCCCCAGCCUAGAACCCUCUUCCUAGAAGCUCUUCCAUUCCGGGCCUCUCUGAGCCCAGCAGUUUUCCUUGUCUGUUACCACAGUGCCUCCGCCCAGGCUCCUUGGGGUCCCAGGCAUCCUCUGGACUUUCGCCCUUACAGUCUCAGACACCCUACCCCCAGCCCAUCUUAGCUUGGCUUUUCCCUCUCAGAAGGAUCUUUUCCAGGCAUGCCACCUGAAGGUUGGAAAGUGUCCACCGCUGCUUGGUCACACUGCCCCGUUGUUCUGUUUAAUAGCACUUCCAAAUUUCUUAUUUAUCGGUUGGCUUGUAUCUGAGCUAGGACAUGAGCCCCACAAGGCCAAGGUCUCCAUCCAUCUGGCUCCCUGCUUGUACCCCACAGUGUGCGAUGCAUAGUAGGCACUCUAAACUUGAAAAAAUGAAGGCCACCAUGGUUGGUGCCAGGGAAGGAGGUCCGCUGGGCUGAACUGGGUCUCAUCUCACCCCGAUUCUGUUUGCAGGUCACUGCAGGGGGAUGCCGCACUGCCCCAAGGUGAAGAGCUGAUUGAAGCUGCCAAGAGGAAUGACUUCUGCAAGCUCCAGGAACUACACCGAGCAGGAGGUGACCUCAUGCACCGCGACCAUCAGAGCCGCACACUCCUGCACCACGCAGUCAGCACUGGCAGUAAGGAAGUGGUCCGCUAUCUGCUCGAUCAUGCACCACCAGAGAUCCUCGAUGCUGUGGAGGAGAACGGGGAGACCUGUCUACACCAGGCAGCCGCCCUAGGUCAGCGCACCAUCUGCCACUACAUUGUGGAAGCCGGGGCCUCCCUCAUGAAGACAGAUCAGCAGGGCGACACUCCCAGGCAGCGAGCUGAGAAGGCUCAAGACACAGAGCUAGCUGCAUACCUGGAGAACAGACAACAUUACCAGAUGAUCCAACCUGAUGGAAUGGCUGGACAGCUCAGUCAGGGAGGCCUGCUCUCAGCAGGACUUUCUAAAGCCACCUGAUCCCUUGGGCUCUUUGGAAGGUUCUGGGUGCCUAGCCCUCCUCUCUGACCCACACACCUUGGGCAUCCCAGAAACUCAAGAGCCUGCUGUAUUUGCCUGCCCGCUGCCCUGCUUGGCACCUACCCUGGUGAUCCUCCUCAUGCACCCAGUCAUUUCAUUUCCGACUGUAUGGCCUGGGGUGGGGGGUGGGGCUCCCACGGUGACUUGUUUACAGCUGGGUGUGACUCAGUAAAGUGAAGUUUUUUUCC
rnacentral:lncRNA from 1 species